rnacentral:lncRNA from 1 species
AACCACCAAGUUCUCAUGUUUCGGCUGGGUUUGAGCCUUAAAACCCAACGAUAAGGUUACAGAAGAAACCAUAGACCACCAAGUUCUCAUGUUUCGUUGGGUUUGAGCCUUAAAACCCAAUGAUAAGGUUACAGAAGAAACCAGAGACAACACAUGGUGUUAUUGCGAAGGGUACGUGAAGGCAAAACAACUUUGUAAAAAAUGUGUGGCAGUCAGAUUAAUGCAUCAAGAGUUGGUCGAUUUUGACCAUAUGGCUGAGUGGAUAGCUGGCCCAUCCGUUCAGCUCUCUCUCUUAGUUGGCUCAGACGCUCAGUUCGUUAUACCAAACCAGCGCUUUCUCUUACAUGGCUCAGCUCAGUAUACCAUUUCACAGGUGCUCAGGCAGAGGAAGCAGAAUUGGGGAAGUUCGAAUCCUUCUAAUCACGGUGAACUCACCAGUGCCAAGCAAACAAUUACACCAUAGCUGGCCAAUAAAGAAACAAAAACGAGACAUCACGGUGUCAGUAAGUUGAAGUACACAACAUAUGAGACGAAAGGCAAAAAGCAUUGAAGAGAACCCCAAAAUUGUUCUUGCUCAAACAAAAAUAUGCAAGGGUCAGCAAGGUUGUAUUGGACUGGGGUAACAGAGUGUAUGGAAUUCCCAUUUACUCGUUUCCGUACACUUAAAACACCAGCUAGCACAUCAGGGUUAUUAGUAACUGGGACACAUUUAGAGAAACUCCGAAUGAUGGCACCUUUGUUUACAAGAGAGUGGGAGAGCUGACUAGACAUCUUUGCACCUAGGAAAUACACAGAUUCAUGCUUUGAGCACUUGAGAUCCAAGUUUGAAUGAUCAG